UUGGUGUGGGGUAUGUAAUGCCACUGAGCAAGUGGCAUGACAUAUUAAAAUCCACAUGUGAUGCGAAGUGCACGAUAAAUGUUGCACGACAUUUGUGGACGCCAGCAGAAGCAGGCGAAAGAAGCCUGACUGGCCAGGCCUGCCGUACAAUGUCUGAGGCAUCCGGCAAACUUCCAGCAACACCGGAUAAAGUGGCCGCUGUAAAGAACUGCCUGGAGAAGUACAUCAGCCAGCAUCCAAUGGGGCCACCAGCACCACCUCCGGAGCACCGCAUAGCGUCAGUGCGGAAGCACUUACGCAGCUUCUUCACAGAGGCAGGUCGCCAAGGAAAACGAGUGCGAAAGUGAAUAGUUGAAAUCUUUUUUCAAUAAAAUGUGAUUAUAUGCCA